GAUGAACGCUGGCGGCGUGCCUAAUACAUGCAAGUCGAACGAAGAUCUAGCUUGCUAGAUCUUAGUGGCGAACGGGUGAGUAAUACAUAAAUAAUCUGCCCAUAUGACUGGGAUAACUAUUGGAAGCGAUAGCUAAUACCGGAUAGGUUGAUCGGAGGCAUCUCUGAUGAAUUAAAGUAGGAUUUCUACACAAAUGGAUGAGUUUAUGGCGCAUUAGUUAGUUGGUGGGGUAACGGCCUACCAAGACGAUGAUGCGUAGCCGACCUGAGAGGGUGACCGGCCACACUGGAACUGAGACACGGCCCAGACUCCUACGGGAGGCAGCAGUAGGGAAUUUUCGGCAAUGGGCGCAAGCCUGACCGAGCAACGCCGCGUGAGUGAUUAAGGCCUUCGGGUUGUAAAGCUCUGUUGUAAGGGAAGAACAUUCAGGAUAGGAAAUGAUCUUGAACUGACGGUACCUUACCAGAAAGCCACGGCUAACUACGUGCCAGCAGCCGCAGUAA
rnacentral:rRNA from 1 species